CCUACGGGUUGCAGCAGUAGGGAAUAUUGGACAAUGGGCGAAAGCCUGAUCGAGCAAUGCCGCGUGUGUGAAGAAGGCCUUCGGAUUGUAAAGCACUUUCGACGGGGAGGAUGAUGACGGUACCCGUAGAAGAAGCCCCGGCUAACUUCGUGCCAGCAGCCGCGGUAAUACGAAGGGGGCUAGCGUUGCUCGGAAUGACUGGGCGUAAAGGGCGCGUAGGCGGUUUAGGCAGUCAGAUGUGAAAUCCCCGGGCUUAACCUGGGAACUGCAUUUGAGACGCAUAGACUAGAGGUCGAGAGAGGGUUGUGGAAUUCCCAGUGUAGAGGUGAAAUUCGUAGAUAUUGGGAAGAACACCGGUGGCGAAGGCGGCUUACUGGUCUGCAACUGACGCUGAGGCGCGAAAGCGUGGGGAGCAAACAGGAUUAGAUACCCCCGUAGUC
rnacentral:rRNA from 1 species